rnacentral:rRNA from 1 species
GGUGCUAUACUGCAGUCGAACGAACUUCCGUUAAUUGAUUAUGACGUACUUGUACUGAUUGAGAUUUUAACACGAAGUGAGUGGCGAACGGGUGAGUAACACGUGGGUAACCUGCCCAGAAGUAGGGGAUAACACCUGGAAACAGAUGCUAAUACCGUAUAACAGAGAAAACCGCAUGGUUUUCUUUUAAAAGAUGGCUCUGCUAUCACUUCUGGAUGGACCCGCGGCGUAUUAGCUAGUUGGUGAGGUAAAGGCUCACCAAGGCAGUGAUACGUAGCCGACCUGAGAGGGUAAUCGGCCACAUUGGGACUGAGACACGGCCCAGACUCCUACGGGAGGCAGCAGUAGGGAAUCUUCCACAAUGGACGCAAGUCUGAUGGAGCAACGCCGCGUGAGUGAAGAAGGGUUUCGGCUCGUAAAGCUCUGUUGUUAAAGAAGAACGUGGGUAAGAGUAACUGUUUACCCAGUGACGGUAUUUAACCAGAAAGCCACGGCUAACUACGUGCCAGCAGCCGCGGUAAUACGUAGGUGGCAAGCGUU